GGAGGUGUUAGUAGGUUGAGUUCAUUGGGAAUCUUUACUCAAACUAAAGACUCUCAAACAUUAAUCUCUAAUAUUUAUUUUUCAAGACUCAAAAAUUAAUCUCUAAUAUUUAUUUUUUCCUUUUCUAUUUAAAUUGUUGAAUAUGUAGUACAAGAUCCUAAUCAAAUUCAAUCUUACUAAAUUAUUGGAAAUUGGAUCCAGAUCCAUCUCCAUCCUAAUAAUUGAUAAAAGUUCAAAACUUAGAAACCAACUCUGGUAUAAGUUGGGAAUUUGCUAUUCAGGAACUGAUUGGCACCUCUAACUCAUUGUAAUAUAUAGGAUUACCUCAUUGUCAACAGCUGACACAAGAAGAUAGUGGUCAUCUGGAGAAAAGCAAGCCAUUACAUUUCCUCUUGAACUUGAAGCAGUAUAGCAAGGCUGCAUUGGUUUCUGUCUCAAAUCCCACAUUUUGACAUCUUGAUCAAAUGAUGAAGUAACAAAAAGGAAUGGGGAAUGAUUUGCAAACUUAACAACAUUAAUAUGCUCUUGAUGCAUAUCAGUGAACAUCUGCAACCGUCUUCCACUAUUGAUGUCAUACAAAGCAACAUUUUUGGAGUACCCACUUGCAAGAAAGAGUUCAUCUGUUGAGUUGACAUGAACAGAUGUCAAUUGAUCAAAUUCAUCAAAGGUGGCAGAACCAGCACUGCAGUAAAUGUCUGCAACUGUUGACGACAUAUGCUGGAUAUCAUACAAUUUCAGUGAACCGUUAUCAGAACCAGCAAUGAGCUGUCAUUCACCAGAAAAAAAGGAAUCAGAUGGAAUGCGCAACUGCCACUGCAUCAAAGAUUAAGACAGCACUGAAGCAAAUUUCAUAUAACCUCUACUGAUUAGUAAAAAUAUGGUGAAAACAUCACCAAGCAUGAUUUUAAUAUCCAAGAAAAAGAAACCACACUUCUCAGGCCCAAUUUUCUUAUUGGCAAUCACCUCUUUGAGGAGUGGGAAUUUUCCUCGAGUUACCAGUGUUGAGUCACAAAAGGGAUAUAUGCAUAUGUAGCAUAAAUAUCCCAACUUUUAAGUUGGAAAUUACCAACUAUUACAAUAUAAUAAGGUGUUACUUUUAAAAGGAUAUUUCCAGCAUUUUUAAUAAUGACAAUUCAUAAGCCACAAAUUCCCAGGUUAUCAACACUUGAUGUUAUAAAAUCAUCUAUUUUGUACCAAACUUCCCCUGCAUGUCUGUAAUCAAGGGGCAUGACUAAACACUUAAGAAGUAUGGAUGGAGAUAACUGUAAUGGAUUAUUAUGAGAAUUGCGAGCGCAAAAAAGCAAUUUGCAAGUAUAUACCUUCGAUGGAUGCUUCUUGAGCCAACAAAGUCCCAGUACACUAUUCAUUGCUCCUAGUGAUGGAAUAUAACUAACAAUCUUUUCACUCUCAUGGUUGACAACAACAACAUCACCAUCUAGGGUUCCAAAGACCAUUAGGCUAGAGUUAGAAGGAUGGUACUCAAACUGCCUUGGACGAAAACUUCUUUCACCUCCUGAAUCAUUGCCUAAAAUGGAAAGCGGAUGCAACAAUGGCCAUGGUGAAGACCCUACUUUGGCAGCCCCUAGUGACCUGGAAUAAAAAUAUUGAGACCUUCCAGGAGGACAUGAUGGCUUUUUCUUAGGAGUUUGUAUACGAUUAUGGAUUGCUUUUAUUUCACGCAUCUGCAAGAUAUCAACAACAUUCUCUUUUCGAUUCCUUCUGUAAGGUAGAUACUCAAAAUAUUGCGCAAAAAUAGCACUGGCAAAAUCCCUUUCAAUCUCUUUGAUGAGUAAGUUAUCUAAAACAUUCAGAUGUGGUAAUGAAGCUAUCAUGUAUUCCCUGUAGUGUUUCUCAAAGCAUAUUGGUGAUGGAUGAUGAGAAACAUACUUCAACAUAAUAUCUUGAAGAAAAGGGAUGCUUUGUGAACUAAAAGCAUCUUUCAAGGACACUUCUUCACUUUGAGUCCAUGAUGUACAAAAAGGAACCUGCCAAACAGAUCAGAAUUUCAUUAUCUAGAAUUUAGAGAGGGAGGCACGAGAGAGGGUGUCAGGCUCUGCAAGGAAAUAAAAUCAUUCCAUUUUAUUUUAACACAUCAUCUCAAGCAUGAAUCCAUCCUAUGAAUGAUGUUGAAAUUUUGGAUCAUAAUUAAUUCUUGAUAUUCUACACAUGAUCUUAUGCAUACACAAAGAAAAAGGAAUAAGUUCAUUUCUUCUCCUGUCCAAACAACCUUAUAGUAUUUCCCAGUUAAAAUUACUCCAUAAACCAACCUAAUGGGCAAGACCAUGUGGUUUACCUCACUCUGCAGAUCAACUGCAUUAGACAAAAGUUCCACCAAACCAAAUUCUUGCUGGUGAGUUGAAAAGUCGACUUCACUAUCAUCUGAUGAGUCCUCGGUUGUAUUUUGGAAUUCAGGAUUCAUAAUGACAUUAUUAUGCAAAAAAAAUUCCUGAAAGGCCUCUUGUGCGGUUGAAUUUUGAUUACCAAGUAUCCAGCCAUCAACUGAUGGAGCUUCAAUUAGAGGACCCCUUUGUGGCUGAACUGAAUAAGUUCUGUCAUUUGCCUUCCCACCAGAUGACACGGGACAAGGUCCUGUGUCAUAGCAACAUAAACAAUUCUGAAACCGAAGUUCGGCCAAAGAAGGGAGUUUAGAGAGUGCUGCAAUAGUUGUCCAAAGAUUGGACACUCUUGUUUCACACAUCGAGAGACACCUUAGGUUUGGCAUGCAAGUAAAACAAUCCUCCCGGAAACUAGUGAGGGAAGUACUGAAAUCCAAGUUAAGAGUGUGCAUCUGCAUGAACUUCCCAAUCAAGUUGAGCUUCCGGAAAUGGGAAGACCUCAAGUUUAAUGCUUGGCAAGUCAAGCCUCUCUGAGAAAGAUCCCUAACAGUAAAAACCAAUUUGGUGAAAUCAGAUCAUUUGGCUACAAAAACCUUAUUGCUUCUAUGAAUUUGCCUUGUAUGUCAUUUCCCAGAGCAAAUAAGAAAAGAAAACCCAGCAUUCAACAUUCAGAUAAAGAGAGGCACUACUCAACAGCAUAUAACAUCAGGAUAGUACAUAAAUGAUUGAUUGAAAAUUAAGCAAUCAAGGAAAGGAGAAAAUUAAGGUCUAGCAAAUGGAUAUUCUGAGAAUCUAUAUUCCAAUAUUAUAAUUCCAGAGAAAUAAAUGAGUCAGGCAAAGAAAAUCCAGAAAGGGCACAAUAUAAACACUAAAUAAAAUGAUUCUAACACUGCACCCUUUGAAGAUUCUAAAAAAUUCUAAUACGGAUGUUGAGAAGAUUUAAACAUCUAAAAUGCUUGUAACCCUCCUAAUCAAUUUAACUUUGACCAAUAAGCUAACACCAGUGGGAACAAUACAUGAAACUCCAGGCACAGAUAGCUUCAUGAAUUACCUACUGAUUGGUCAAACAUGGGCACUGAGAGCAGUCUGCCCAUCAUCAUUAUCCCAGGUUAAAAUAACAUGUAAGCAUAAGAACUUCUAACUGUUGUCAUCAUUUAUUGCCUCUAUCAUACAACAUCAAUUCUUCUGACAUUAGUAGGGACCAAGAUGUUGACAGAUCCAGCACUUAACCCAUUAACAAGAGCCCUUCAAUUAGAUAUUCCAGAAUCACCAUAAAAUCUCAGUCUGAUCUUCUUCAAGCCACAAGUAACUCAUUCCAAGCACUAUAAGAGAAAGAUGGACAAUUCACUCCCAUAAGGAGUUGAAUUUAGACCCCCUCCUGCUUCAAUAAACACAUUUCAAUUCAUAAGAGAAUUGGUCAUAUUUAAAGCUUCCAAACAUUUCAAGUUUCCAAACACUAGAAAUUUCUCUUGACUGAAUUGUGGAGCUUUAUUAAUCUGUCAUUACUAAACAGGAUGGAAUAGAAAGAAAUAAAAAUACAUAACAACAUGACAGAAUAAACCGAUACUAGAUAAAUACUUGAGGAUAGUGCAGAAAGAACAUCACAACAUACCGCAAGAAGUCCUUCCCAAGUGAAAGAUCUUGGAGAUCAACAAUUCGAAGCUUUUGAUUGAUUGCACGCAUCAAUGACAAAGCAUAUUCUCCAUUCAACACACAUGAUGAUUCAUUAAAUAUGUCAACUGCAUCAAUCUCUGAAGCAUCGAUUUCCAUUAACAAGUCAAGAAGAGGAUAGAAAUCAAUAUCCUUUACUCUGUCCAAGAAAACCACCAUGCUACAUGGUUCAUGAUUGUUUCUUUUCACCUUGGCCUGCAUAGUAGAAUAAUCAGAAUAAUUUAUUAUCGCUAGUAACAUUGACAAGAUUGAAAAUUCCAGCAUUGUAUCCUUUCCAGGUGUGAAAGAGAAAGAAUUACACCAAAUGGCACAGGACACAAUUCAUCCCAGCAAGACCCCAAACUUGAACAAAGAAAAUAUGACUAAGAUAUGAGGAAUAUCAAGAAGGGGUGAAAAAAGUACUGAAAUUGGAUCCUUUCAGAGUGAUAACAAUGACCCAUUAAUUAAGAACAGCUAAAACCUACAUUAUUAAGUCUGUUUCAAAUAGUGUUUUGGUUUUUACAUUGGGAUGCAGUGUAUAGUGUCAGAUUCAUCUAGUGUUCCAUUUCAGGUUUACCACCAUUAAUACAUGUAUACAUACAUGCAUAAAUAGAUAUAUAUACAUAUACACACACGCAUAUACAAAUAAAGAUACAUGAAUAUAUAGAUACAUACUGCAUAAAUGUGCACACACGUACAUUUUGCAUAUUUACAUAUACACAUUUCUCCAUACCUAUCUAAUGUACAAACAAUGUACAAAUAUAUACAUUUUAAUAGAAGGCCAAGAAGAUUUCAUUAAAAAGCAACUAUUUUCAUGCAAAGAGCUCAUUUAAUGACCAAAGGCAGAUGGAUGUGACUGCAACUAGAUACAAUCAUACAAACCUUAAGAAGAGCGGAUAAAACUUCAGUAUUAGGUGGUGCUCCAUGCUGCCUACAAGAAUCAACAUACCUAUAACAAAAACCAGAAUAAAAUGAGAGUAAAUCAAGCAUCUAUUAUAGAUAAAUAUUGAAAUGGAGAUAUUACAUUAGGAAUUUCCGAAACCAGGUUUCUAUGUCACUAAAGUUUAAUCCUUUUUAGUGCCUAAACCAGCUGUACAGAUCUGAAUUCAGAUAGCAGACAGUUUUAGUUAAUAGAUCAACUUAACAUCGAUGAUAUCUAAAAAACCUAAAAAAUUUUAAAGCUAUGCGUUUUUAUUUUCGUUGAACAGAACAGAAUUUUUAUAAAAUGUAAUACCAUUUUGAAUCUUGAAUAGCCUCAUCUUCGGCUAAUUUUACAGUGGUAAUUACUAAAAAGGACAAAUACAAGGUAUAUUUGGACCUUUCUAGUCCAAAAAAGAAAAAACCUAAUCCUUUUGAGUCUUACAAGCAUUUUACAGAUUUACAUUAGAUACAAAACAGCUUUUUCUUGAAACUUUGCUUAUAAUACGGCUAAUCAAUUAGCAAUGCUGUGUGAGAAUGAAGCAUCAAUAACUACAUCUUGUUCCACCACAAUCAUCUGUCCAAAGAUGGUUAUUUAUCUGGUGCAGGAGUUGAAGGUUUGAAGCCCAUCACCUACCACAUACUUAGACUGCUCAAUUCAUACAUGAUACUUCAUUGCUUCUGAUUUGUGAAUGAACUUGAAUACUACCAAAAUAAUUAUCUUUUUGAUGAUUUUGAAGCAUUUCGCUAUCAACUAAUUGAUUUUUUUUGUCCUAUUUAGUAGUCCCCUUUAGUUUUACUUAUAAAGUAACAUAACUUUAACAGUAGUUCCAAAUCAUCAAGGUCCUUUCAACAUUUUUAUUACAAACAAUAAAUGUUUUGAAAUACAUGAUGGUAACUCAUUUAGAAAAAAUAAGUAAUGAAACAUAGUAUUUAGGCCAUGUCCCUAAAUAGCUCCAAUUGAAACUAAGCAUUCUGGCAAUGUCCUUUUUGCACUUCCUUUCCCAUGAAAAUUUCAAGCAGCACUAAAGUCUUCAAUAUACUCCUACAAGUACUUUGCAAAAAUCUGCCAAGCAGUUCUUCCUCUCUAUGUCUUGUUACUAACACAUCUAAGUCUUCUAAAUAAAAUCAAGAUCUCAAAUAGAUCAUAUGGCACUCAAAUAAAUGACAUAUUUAAGAUUCAUGGAUUCCAAGACAUGAAACAAAAAGCUAAAUGAAACUUAGAGUUUAUUUGGCAGUAAUUCUAGGAAAUGUUUUUAGUCUUUCUAGCAUUUGGAAACAGCUCUUUUGAUAAAAAAUUUCAAGUGUUGGAAAGGUUAGAAGCUUCUUAGAAUCAAUGUCAAACAGGCUCUUAGAUUCUCUAAAUUUUGACAAAAAUAUAUCAUAUUUGAAUUUCUCCUGAAACUUUCAAAUCUGUGAUAAAAGUUGAAACUCUUCUAAUUGAAAUCACAUCCAUCUUCAUUUAAAUUCUUUCCCCUCUCAACUAUUCACUCAUGUUAAACACAACUGCAAGUAGGACUAGUGACUCAUCAAAGAUUAGUCCAUCUUUCAUCUGCUGAAGAAAAGUUUUGGAUUGAUCAAAUUGAAUGAAGGAUUAUGAACCAUGGAUUUACCAUGGAACCUUAUAUUCACACUAAGUUCAGUCCUUUUUUUGUAGAUGAGUGUGAGUGUAACACUUCUUGUUGGCAUCGUCUCCCUGUGUCUACAGCCACAACACUAUCAGCAAAGACUACUUGAUUGUCCUACAUGGAUUUACAAAGUUGUUUAUAGACCUGUAAGUGGGGCCAAUUUGAACCAUAUCGUUGAUGUCAUAAUUCAAACCAGACUGUUUCAAUUAAAACACGAGGCUUCAAAUUUCAAUUGACACAGCUGAAACCCCAUAAUCAUAUCUUUGUUGGAACACUGAGUCAAUCCAAUCAAGGGUUUAAUUCAACCGCUCCUGUUCUGUUUGCUUUCUGAGAAAAUGAUCUUUCAACCUUACAUUUUACCUUGUUCGGGACUCACUAAAAACCUCCACCCAAUUAAACCUAAUAAUACCACUUCAUUUACCCAGUUUCUUUUCAUUUUAAACAAGCCUAGAAAAAUACAAAACACAACCCACAACUUAUUUUCUCCUUUUUUUUUCUCAGCGACCAAACAAAAAACCUACGCAUUUUCCACACUACACAGAAUCAAGAAAGUGACACACGAUCAGCAAUGAAUUCUGAAUUAGAAAUUCAGUAAUCUAUCAAUUAAUUAAACAACACGACUGAACUACAAUUUGUUGCAAAGCUCCACAGAAUUUCCAAAACAAUUAAACCAAAUUUGAUACCUUUCCUCCAAGGUUGGAAUAUCCACAGCCAUGGCUAUUUGACCCUUCAAUUUGAAGAACACUUGGAAUUCAGGACCGUCUAUAUAGAAAGAGAGCGGAUUUUACAAGUAAAUAAUAAAAUUCCAUUUUUCACCUUUGCUUCCAGCGGGUAAAUGUACGAUGAAGGGUAUGCAUUUUCAGCCGUCGAUUUAUACAUAUAUAAAUUAUAUUUGGUGAUGAUUAGUUUUUACUGUUAGGGAGUGUGCUAUGAGUGACACGUGUAAAAUUGUACUUAUUUUCAAAUUGGUUUUACGAGGAUGUGUAAAAAUUGGGAUAUGGAGGGUUUGUUUAGAUGAUAUUGCAAAUUUACAAAUCAAAUUUUAUUAAAAUAUUCAUGUUUAUUUUUUCAAAUUUUAUCAUAUAAUAUCUUUACAUUCACAUUUAUUUUCAUUUAGUUUUAUGAUAAUUAAAUAAUGAUAAUUAUAAAAAUAAUAUAAAUUAAUUAAUAUAAUAUUUUUAAAAUAAUAAAUUUGAAUAUUAAAAUUUUCUUUUUAUUUUAAAGAUAUAUUCAUACUUAAAUAUUAUAUAUAUUUCAUUCAAUAAAAUUUAAAAUAUUAUAUUUCAUUUGAUAUUAUAUAUGUAUUGAUUAUUCUUAGCAUUCGUGUGUGUGGUAAUACGAUCUGACGAUAAUCAUACAAUUACACAAUUAAUUAGUGGGACACUAAGAGUCUCUAAGAUUGAUGCCCCAGUUACAAACAAAUAAAGGACAAUCAAUAGGCAUGGAGUGAUUGAGAAAUACUUACCCAUAUUGACUAGGACAUUACGGGUCAACAUGUUGGAUUAGCACAACCCACUUAAAAAUCGGGUCGGCCCAUGCAAGACAAAUAGGUGGCCCGACAUGGCCCAUAAGUCUACAGGCUAAUCGUGUCAUGCCAUGUUGGCGGGUCGUGCUGUGGCCCAUGGUCCACUUACUUUGUUAAAAAAAUUUAUUUAACUUUUUUAAGUCAUUUUUUCUUAAAUUUUUUUAUUAUUAAAUAAAAUUUCUUUUUGUUACUUUAAACAACUCUAAUAAUUAUAUUUUUUUUAUACACCUCUAAUAAUUAUACUUUUUAUGUUUUUACAUUUAUAUUUAUCGAGUUUGUAAUUGUAAAAUUUAUAGAAAUGUUAGUUUUUUAUUUUUAAAAAUAGUAAAAAAUUAUAUUUGAAUUUGUUUAUUUUUUAUCAAAAUAAAAAUAAAUUUAAAAUAAUGGAAUAUAAAAGGAAAUUAAAUAUUAAAAAAAACUUUUAUUCAAUAUUUUAACAAAUUACAUGAAAAAAUAAGGAGAAAAAAAUGUGAGAAUUGCAUUACUAUAGUUGAUUUACUUUUUUACCCCUAAAACUAGUCGUUGUAUAGUUGUUGAGAGAUAUUAUAGACAUUUGACAUGUAAUAAAAAAGUAAAAAGUGAAAUUUAAAAGGGUAAAGUAGGUCGGCACAAUGGGCUAACGGGCUAUUUCUUUAGGCCUAGCAUAGCUCGCUCCUUUGGGUCGUGUCGGCCCGGCUUGCUAUAGUGUUGGGCCGUGUCGGGCCAUGAGCCAAAAUGGGCAGCCCGACCCAAUUGACACCUCUAGUUACUAUGGAGACGAGUGACAAAAGAGUGUAACAAAUUACACAGGCCUAUUGAUUAUACAUCCUAGGUUUUACGUUUUUUUUGCGGAAAGAGUGGGACUAGGGUUCCAACCGUUUAUCUAGCUUAGCCAAAAGGUAUUACACGUAUAAGUACAUAUGUUUGGGGAGUUGUUGCACUUAUAUAUCUAUAUCUCCAAUUAGGGCUUACGACUCUCAAAGAUGUUAGACAAAUCGCUAAAUACAUGACAUUGCUUGAGGUAUAAUAAAGAACUUCCUUUAUUUUAUUUUAUUUUUAAAUCAUAUAUAAUUAAAGUAGUGUAACUCUCAUAAAUAUGAGUAUAUAAGCAUAUCCCUUUAUUUUGCCAUCACCCAAAAAAAAAAAGGUUUUCAUAUGCAUGACCCAAUAAUGAUGAGGUGGCUACCUAGAAGGAAGAUCAGAUCAACAUCAAAGUACUUAUAAGGCAUAUGUGACCAACUUGACAACAUCAUUGUAAAUGAUGUAAGACAUUGCCAUUCAAAUAAUUUUUUAUUUUUUUUGUCUUUAUGUUUCUUGUUUUUGUAUGUGAUCCAAUUUGAUCUAACGUAGAAUGAUUUUUAUUAACAAAAUCAAUUGAUAUAAUCUUUUGCGUAGGUAUAGAUAAUGGCAUCGAUCAAAGAGGAAGGAAUAUUGGGUAUUGUCACAUUAAUAUGUGGAUAAGCACAACAUUGUAUUUAGAAGCAAAAGUAUACCCCAUAUCGAGCAUGAUCAUCCAUAUUUCAACCAUAACAAGACUAUCAAAGAAACUCAAGGCAUGAAGGAGCUCAUCAACUCUCAAGUUUUCUUAAAAAACCUCGUCAUAAUCUAUGUGAUAGGUAGAUAAUGUUGAUUUCGCGAGCCAUUGGGGAUACGAUAUCUCCCUGAUGUCAACUCUCAAUCAACUAAGAGUGAUGCUUCCUUCCAAUCACCUACAAAAGAUGUCCGAACAGGUUGUCUGGACACACCCUCCGAAGCUCUAGUUAGAUUGACAAUAAAGAAUUUCUCCUCUUAGAAGUUCCUACAAUGGCUCUCUCUUACCUCCCCUCUUGCCCAAUGUGCUGUGGAAAGCUUUUAUAAUGUCUGGAGCCUUGUCACAUCUAGGGUGGAGGAAGUCUUUUGACUUUCACAGUCAUGAUGAUAUGACUGCUCAGAGGGUGGCAGCGCAAUCAUUAUCCUUUAAGCGGUUGAUAGAGAUCGUUGGUAAGGCGACCAAGCGCCUCCCUUGCCGCUUGAUUCUGCGGGCGGCGUAGUGCAGAGCGUGGCAGGUCACCUGAAAAGACAUGGGGUUGUCCUAUCGAGUGUGCCCUUGAUGGGAGGAAGAGUGACUGCCUGAGGAGUAUGAUUAGGGACAUUGUUUGGAACGCGUUAGAUAGUAUUGGAAGGGCAUGAGGCAACCGACCAUUAACAGCUGCAUCUGAACUGGAUGUUCCUAGUUGAUGGAACACGUCCAGACAAAGGCGAAGGGAUGCCACGUGUUCCAUAUCAGGGUGCCUUGAAAAGGUUAAGACAAGCCACCACAUGUCUGUCCAGAGGAGGUUCCUACAGAUAACUCUCAAAACAUAUCUUGCUUAACUUAUUGCCAACCAUCCUCACUCAGGCCUAGCUUAAAGCAAUAGCUUUAGCUCGGUAUUCACAAUUGUCAUCUACUCCUACAUCUUUUACAUGAACAAAACAAGGUUACAAACAUUUUGGAAAUGCAAAAACGUAGUUACAAGUCUUAUAUGAUCAUUUGAUUACAUCCUUUAGCUUUCUAUUUUAUUUUAUUUUAAGUGUGAUUCUUGCACUCGAUUUUUUUACCUAUUUCUCCUAAAACAAGCCAAAUAAUUUGAAAGUCACCUUUUAUUUACCUUACUAAACAAGUUAAUUCUAAAAAAAUUCAAAUUAAUUUCAAGAUAAGUAAAAUCAAUCUCAAAUCAGGCAUAAAUGUAAAUAAAUGACAGUUUAUUCAUUGCUUAAAUAAUUUUGUAAAUAAUUAUUUUUAAAAUAAAUUUACAUGGAACCUGUUUUUAAAUUUACAAAUGAUGAUACAAGAAAUGGUGAGAAUAAAUCUUUGAUACAGUAUUAUUUAUAUAAAAAUAUAUAUAUAGAGAGAGAAAUUAUCAUAUAUUCUCAUUUUAAAAAUUUAUUUUUAAUUUAAAUUUGAAAUAUAUUAUGCAAAAAUUUCUGAUGCAGAAAAAGAUGGGUCGUAUUGAAUCAUUAUUGGGCAUGGGACCAUGAGUUCAAAGCAGUUCAAAGGAUUCUGGGCCACCAGCCCACAAAUAUGGGCCCAAAAUCCAUGGGAUGAAUCCAACUCAACUUAACUCACAAAAGCCCAUACAAAUCAUGCUUGGGAUUGGGCCAAUCAUGCGGGCUUCUAAACCCAAUUGCUUCUCAAGGUUUGACCUUAGCCCAAGGUCAAUUAAUAGCCUGCACAAGGUUGGUAGAAAUUCACACAAGCUUCAAAAAGCCUUCAACUAAUGACUUGCUCCUUCAUAAAUGAUAUUUUUAAAAAUUUAUUUUAAUUUUAUUUUUUUUUCUUUCUCUCACAUUUUUCUUCCAAUUUUCAUGAGAACAUUUUCAAAUUCCCAAUAUUUUGAUUAUAAAAAUACCCUUUUAAAAAGGAAAAUGAAAAAUAAAGCCACAAAUUCAGGUGCCGAAAACCCUAACUUUAAAACCAAAACAUGGAGCAAAUCAAGUUGGAUGAGACCCAACUCUUGUAUACAAUCAUAAUCUUGAGCAAUCAUGGCUUGCCCCAAUUCAAUCCACAAGUCAACCUUUCAAUUGGUUCCUUGGACCACUCACCCUUCAAACUCAAAAGACAAAACUCAAAUAGUGACCCACACCCACAAAGUAAAAUUCAAAAAAAAUCAAACACUCAGCAGUACAAAAAGGGUCCCCAUCUAGGGUUAACCUCCAUAACCCCCAAACCCUAAUUAUUAAAAAAUAAAAAAAAUAAAAAAAAAGGUCAUAUCUUCCAAAGGAAAAAAGUGGUAAAUAAAGAAGAGGUGACCCCAAAAGGUGAAGACCAAGCCCAUCAGCAUUGCAUGUGCUUUGUGGGUGGCUAAAGAAGAAGGUUGGUGAUGUUGGUGGUGGGAAAAAAAAAAAUAUAUAUCAUAGAUUGGGCCCCAUGCUUUAAUUUAUGCCUGCCCUCUGCUUUCUUUACGGAUUAUUAUUGUCUUUGGAUUGAAGAGGAACAUAUAAGAACCUGGAUGUUUCCAUUUCAAGUUAGGAAAAUAGACAGUGCAGCUACAAAGUGAAACAAUUAUUUUAAAGGGUUUGAAGAAUACAGUGGGAAUGAGCCCAUUAUUAAGUCUUUUUAAUUCAAAUAUAGCUGCCUUGUUCCUUUAGAUGAUUACAUCUUUAGACUUUAACACCCAUAUAUAUAUAUAUAUAUAUAUAUAUAUAUAUAUAUAUAUAUAUAUAUAUAUAUAUAUAUAUAUAUAUCAUACAUGUAUAUGGGGCUUUUGUGAGGUCAAGACCUUUAAUUAUUAGGGUGAUCAUAAUAUUAGAAUAAUGCUAGUAAUUUUGAAUGGCUUAUUGAAAGUGUUACUUGGAAUAAAUAUAGUGAUAAUAAUAAUAAUGAUGAUGAUAAUAAUUUUUUUACAAAAUUAUUUGUUACAAUACUAAAUUCUAAAUGUAUGGAAAAUAAAUAAAUUAGAGAAGAUUUUCAUGUCACAAAUCAUAUUUUAGGGUGGUGUGGUGGGAUUCUCAUAAAACCAUGUUUAGCAUGUAAUAUGGUAAUACUUCUCAAGAAAUAGUUUUAUAGAGAAUUAAUUCUAUUUGGUAACGGUUUAUGAAAAUAGGUGUGAAAAAUAGUUGUUGAAUAUAAUUUUUGAAAAUUGUUCUUUGAUGUUUUAUAAAAUAACAUAUUUUUAAAUAUGUUUUAAAGAUAUUUUUUUAAUCACUCUACUCUACGUAUUUGUAUAAUUAUUUUAUAAAACAACUCUAAAAAAACAAGCAAAAAUAAUAGAAAACAAUUAGAAAAAUAUUAUCUAAAAACAUCAUGCCCUUGUUUGGUAACUAUUUUUUAAAAUAACCAUGAAAAAUAGUUUUUGAAAACAAUUUUUAAAAAUUAUUUUCUAAUUUUUGUAAAAUAAAAGUCUUUUUAAGAACCUAAAAUGUUUUUAACCUCUAUUUAAUAUUUUAAAAUGUGUUUUAAAAAUAAUUUUUAUAUCAAAUAUUUUAUUUUUAAUCAUUCUAUAUGUUUGUAUAAUUAUUUUCUAAAAUAGUCCUAAAAAUCCAUAAGAAAAUAUGUUUUUUACAAAUACAAUAUUUUAUGUUCUUAAGAACAUAAAACAAAAAACAAUUUCUAGUUAUCAAAAGUAUUUUUCAUUUUUUUUAAAGAACAGAAAACUAUUCUAAAAAAUAAAUGUCAAACAAGCUCUUAAGUAAAACAAAUUUCAAAAAUUUAUUUUAUAAAGUUUUAUAGAACAAAACUCUAUUUAAAAAUUUUGAAAUGUUUUUAACUAAUUUUUUAUUUUUUAAAAAAUAAUUUUUAUUUAUAGUACUUUAUUUUUAAUUAUUCUCUAUACUUAUAUGGUUGUUUUUUUAAAACAACCCUUACAACCACAAGUGAAAAUUUAACUAAAAAAAUGUUCUCAAAAAACACAUUUUUAUUAAGAACAAGUUUUUUUUUUAAAUUUUUAUUUGCUAAACAUUUUUUAGAACAGUUAAUAAACAAGCACUUAAAUAUCAUUUUGUGAUGACUAAAAAAAUAUUUUGAAAAUAUUUUUUAUAAUAUGAUAUAUAACACAAAAGAAUUUUUUUUAAAAAAAAAACUUAUGAAAUGAUAAUUCAAAAAUCAUUUCAAGUUAUAUUGGUUUAUGUUAAAAAAAAUUAGGCUAAUCUAACCUAUGGUAAUCACCCUAAAGUGGAAGUGAAUAGGAUGAUAGUCUCUUUUUGCAAAUUUAAACUAUGUGAAUGUAAGAGAUAAUUAUAUGCAAGUAUAUAGUAAACAAUAUAAAGACAAUUGCAUAUAAAUUAAAAGUGUAGAGAAAAGAGAAUGCAAACACAAGAUUUUAUAGUGGUUCAGCGUAACCCGACCUACAUCCACUCUCCUUUAGCUUCAAUCCCAAACUUGAGGUUCCACUAAUUCAAGGCUUCCAAACCAAGCCUUCAAACAAUACAAUUAGAUUAUGGUUCCAAUCCACCCUCUUGAACUUUUGGCUCCAAGCACCCUUUACACUUCUCAAGAGAUACCCUACUCUUGAACAACCACUCAAGUGAUACCCCACACUUGAGAAUCUUCCUCUCAAAGAUAUAUAAAUAAUUGAUCUCACAAAAUCUUAGUACAAAAACUUUAAACUCAAAUUAUACAAGAAAACUAGGAUUGAAUGGUGCAUUAAAGAUAUGCAAGUUUUAGAACAAUGGUGCACUCAAAACACUCUUCUAAGGCUCAAAUAUAUUCAAAAAAGGUUUGGGAAGGUUAAGUUCAUGAAGAUUGAAGCAUUUUUAUAGAAGAAAAAAAUCAAACUAGUCAUUGGGGGUUUGACCGAUCGAGCUGGGGGUCGACCUGUUAACUAACCGUUAACAUUUAAUGCUUGGUAGGUAACUGUUGGACCUCGAUCGGAUCUCAACCGAACCUCAAUUGGACCUCAACUGAUUGAGGCUCAACAUUGAUCGGUUGAACAAUCGUUUUGGAAGAAAGAGAGUUUUUUGCACCGUUGACUGGUUGAGUUGGGCGUCGACUCGGACCUCGACCGAUUGAGCUGGAGGUCAACCCGAACCUCGAUCGGUUGAGUUGGGGGUCAACCCAGACCUAAACCGGUUGAACUGGAAGUCGACUUGUUCCUCAUCCGGUUCAACCGGUUGAGCCGUUUUUGGCUCAACAAUCAACUUUUUCAAUUUAAACCCUUUUAAACAAGUUUGAAAAAACAUUUGAUACAAGAUUUUAGUUGAAAACAAGAAAUCAUUCAAUUUUAAAAAUAUUUAAAACAAAGUAACUUUUGGAUGAUUUCGAUGCAUAAGUAAAGAAUGUAAUGCAUGAAAAUCGUAGUGCAGCAACAACCUUACAAAGAGAUUUUAUGAAACUUGAAUCUUGAAAAACACUUCUCUUUGAGGUGGUUUUUUUUUGUUUAUGAUUUUUUCUUGACUUGAUUUGUCUGUGAUUGCCACUUUGAAAAUCGUCCUGUCUAAUCCUUAUUUUGUUAUUAUUAAGAUUAACCAAACCUUGGUUUUACCGUUUAUUAUGUAACUGUUUAAGUUUUUAGGUGAAUGAGUAAUUAAUAUAAUUAUUAAAUCCCUAAUUAUUUGAAUUUAAACUUUGUAUACUUUUGGUUUCCUCAAUUUAUUUCAUCUUCCCAUUUUUCAUUUUCAUUUAAAAAUAAAUAAAUGUGGAGCAUUAAAAUGUAUAAAAUUUCUCAUAAUCUAUCAUUUCUCUUAUUUCCUUCAUAUUUUCUUAUUUUAGGGUGUUUUUUUUUUUUGAACUUUUUUCUAGAAAACAACUGGUUUUCAAAUUUCAAAUCAGUUUUUUUUAUUGUUAAUUUAUUACUUUUUUUUUUUAUUGAAUAGAAAAAAUCAAAAUAUUUGGCUUUUUUUAAUGUUAAAAAGUAACUUUUUGGUUUUUUUUUUUUACUUUUAAUAUUUAAUAUAAGUGAAAUAUUUAAAAAAAUCAAACAACUUAAUACUCAAACAUUAUUUAGUUUUAAGUUAUAUCUAAAAUUAAGUAAAAUAAAAAUACCACCUAAGUCCUUGUUUGGUUUAAUUUCUCUAAAAUCAAAAACUUGUUCUUAAACUCAACAAGAGUUUAUAUGCUUAUUUGAUUAAUUUUACUCAAAAAGCUUAUAACUUCACAAAAAAAAAAAGAAAAAAAAAACAACAACAACUUAACAUGAAAGCUAAUAAAAUAUUAUUUCUUCUAGAAAUUCUAUUUUAAGUUACAUAAAUUUCUUUCAUAUUUAAUAAAAUUUUAUAAUACCAAAACUAAUUUUUUAAAAUGCCACUUUGACUUAAAUUUUAGUUUUCACUUAAAGUAAAAAAUAUAAAAUUAUCAAAAAAAAAAAAACAAACAAAAAGUUAUAGAGCAAGUACACAAACUAUAACAUAUUUACAUCUUUUUACUUUAUCUUUUUACCACAGCUUAAGGUUGUCCAAGAUCUUAUCUAAUCAAGUAUGGAUCACAAAAUGAGACCAAUAUUCUUUAAACCAACUUUCUCAAAAAAAAAAAAAAAAAAGGAAAAAGGCUUAAUGAGGUGGGUGUCUUUAUCCUUAAGGAAGUGGAACAUCAAUUCGAUGAAGCAAGAGUACUACCUAUAAAUAGUAAGAAGAUGACCCACUGCCCCCACAUACCCAAAUGGCCCACUUGUUGAUGGACUUAUGAUAUAUCAUAAUAUUAGAAAAGUGAAAUUCAUUGGGUGGAUGUUAACAGCCUGUUAAGAUAUUUUGUGUGGCUGAUACCACUUUAUUGUGACAACACCCACAAAUCAAAACAAAAAAUGCUACAAAAUAAUUUUAUUAGAAUCCAAGGGUCCUUCCAACCUAACACACACAUAUCUUUAUUACAUAUGAAGUGUCAACAUACUUCAAACAUAAUCCUAUCUUUGAGAUUUGGUGACGGGAUAUGUAUCAAUGUGAUUUUUGAAAAUUAAUAUAUAUUAAAAAAAAAAAAAAAGCACAUAAAACCAAGCCAAAUGCUUGGUUGUUGCUUUUGAAUGGUAGUGCACAUGCAGGAUUUUUUUUUUCUUUUUUUUUUUGGGGAAAUUUGUAGUUUUCAAGUGGAAACAAGAGGGGGGGAAAGUGGGGCAAUGCUCCAUUUGUUCUAAGGUUACGUGGAAAAAAGAUAGCUUGAUGUUGAAUUUGUUGGAUGGAGAUAUACACUUUCAUGAUAUAAAUGUCUAUGAUAUUUAUAUAAUUGAGGUAAAUUUUAUUUGAAAAAAUAUAAGGUUUUUUUUUUAUGAUUUUUUAAAAUUAAUUGAUUUAGAGUAUGUUUGACAAUGAUUUUAAGAUGUGUUUAUAAUAUUUCUAAUACUUAAAAGAUAAAAGAUCUAUUUGAGAAUUGUUUUUUAGAUCAAUUUUUUGUUUUCUAAAACAAAAAAUACAAAAAAACACAUUUGAUAAUCAAAAUUGUUUUUUAUUUUUUGUUCUUUUUAGAUAAUAUCAUUUAAUUGUUUUCAUUUUUUUUUUUAUAAUUGUUUUAAUAAGUAAUUAUACAAAUAUGUAGAAUAAUUAAAAAUAAAAUAUUAGAUAUAAAAAUUAUUUUUAAAACAUAUUUAAAAUAUUAAAAACAUUUUAAGUUUCCAAGCAAACUUUUAUUCUACAAAAAUCAAAUAAUAGUUUCUCAAAAAUGAUUUUUCAAAAUGAUUUUUUAAAACAAUUAUCAAACAGAUCAAAAAAAUUUCAAGUAUUAGAAAUGUUGAACUACCUUCUAAAAUAAUUGUCAAACACACUCUUAAUAAUUUUAUCAUAGAAAUCCUUUCCGGCUCUAUGCUCUUGUAAUUUCUUCUUAUAUUUCUAUUUUAUUCACAAUAAUUAAAUAAUGUAAAUCAUUAUUCUUCUAAUUUCUCCAAGAUUACUACUCAAUUUUGUUAUACAAUGAUGCUUGGUUCAAAUUUUUAGUCCCUCUUUUCAUCAAAUAAAUCCUAGUGGAAAUAGAUGACAACAUGCAAAUCAUGUCAAAUUUUCCAAGCAUUACUUUAAAAAAUCUAUUUCAUUUUUUAAAAUUUAUUAUUAUAUUUAAUAUUCAAAUGAUUUAAUAGAAAAAUUAUGAAUAAAAAUUUUAUUUUCAUCUCUUUUCUCAAUUCAUAUUCUUGUUAACCAAACACUAUCCAUAAUUUUCCAUAAAUUAUUUUUUUCCUAAAAAUUAUUUCCCAUUGUGGUUUUCUUUAAUUCCAUCCCAACAUUUCAAGGCCACUUAUGAAGUGGGUCAUGUUGUUUAUGGUUGGUAAGGCUACAUCACACCUUAUGAUAUUUAAUUAGGAGAUACCCACAUCCAAAUCUUCAAAAAUUGUCAGAUUUUAUAAUGAACAAAAAAAAUAAAUUUAAGUAAUUUCAAUUCUAUUUGUCCACUUGUAUUUUCUAACAUUUUGAUUUAAAAAUAUUAAAUUGAUUUCAAAACCUAUAUUAUAUCACAUGGUCUAUUUAUUUUUCAAAUAUUAAUUAUAUGGGGAAUAUUUGAGAAUCUUUUUAAUUGUUAAAUAAUUUUACACUAUAGUUAAUAAUACACUAAAAUAUAAGUUGAAGAAUUUUAAGAAUUAGAAAUCUUUUUAAUAAAUUAAGAUUAAAAAUGUUUUUACAGAAGAAUUAAAAAAAGAAGUCUGUAUAACAACAACUCUUUCGUGUAUAUUAUUAUUAUUGAAAUAUUUAGUUAAAAAACCUGAAAUAAUUUUAAAAUUGGAAAAAUAACGUCCUUUUCUCUUUUUUAUUUUCAAAAACUAACCUAUUUUUGACACUUUUAUCCUUCUUCAUUUCAACAAAAAUGACAUCACCCUUCAUUUCCCUCCCAUUCUAACCUAACUCUCUCUCUUCACGUUUUUUAUUAAAAAUAUCUGCAGUUAUUUUUAGUUGAAUUUUUUUUUGGAUUUAGGGUUUGUAGAUGUUUCUAUUAGGGUUUUUUUUUUUCUUUUUAGGUUUUUACAUUUUUAUUUAAACUUUUAUGAUAUUUUUUAUUAGGGUUUUUUUAUCGUUGUUUUUUGGUUGGGGUUUUUUUACAGUUAAUUAUUUUUUUUUUUGGAGAUUUUGUUUUGUUUUUUGUUGGAAUUUUAGUUGAAGUUUUUUGCUCUUGUUUUUUCAUUAGGAGGGAGUUUUUAUUGGGUUUUGAAAAUGAGAUCAAAUUAAUUAAGAUUUGUAGAUAAAACAUAAAUUUAAUCUCAUUUAAGUUCUUUUCAAAAUGAAACUUAACUAAAGUAUAACUUAGUUCAUUAUAAUCAAAUUCUCUAUCAAUGAAAGGGAAUUUUAACAUCAAUUUAAGCUUUUUCUAAAUAAAACUUCACUAUAAUAUAAUUCAGGUUAUCAUUAUGAUUGAAAAUGUUACCUUAAUCAGGUUUUUUUUAAGAUCAAACUUAAAAUGAAUGUAGAUAAAAUGAGAAAAAAGUAAAGUUUGAAGUCAUACUUAGAAAUAAAGUCAUGUAAUGAGAAGGAAUAUGUUGGGGUGAGAAAGUUAAAAAAAAAAAAGUUUGAAAGAUAAAUGAGCACGAAAAAAAUAAGUGAAUAUACAUAGUUAUUGAGAUAAACAAAUUGAAAGGGUAAAAGAGUCUAAAAUGGGUCAUCCUUCAACAAAAUUAAGGAGGGAGGUUCUUACAAUUUGAUGAUUAUUUUGACCUAUCUCCCCAAAUAGCCCAUUAUUAUUUAUGAAUGAAAAUACUUUAUCAAAUUUAAUGAAUUUUAUUUUUCAUAAAGUAGAUUCAAUAAUAAUAAUAUUCACAACUAUUUUCGACAACCCUUUUUUGUUCUUCGGAAAAAAAAAAAAAAAAAGAUUUAGCAAAUAUUUUUUACUUAUUUUUAAUUAUUUUUUUAUAAUUAUUUUAAAAUAUAAUAUUACAAAAAGAAUGAUUAAAAAUAAAACACUAGAUAUAUAAAUUAUUUUUAAAAUAUUAAAAAUAAAUUAAAAAAUAUUUCAACCUUUUAAACAAAUUUUUAUUGAUAAAAAAAAAUAUUUUUCAAAACUGUUUCUAAAAAACAGUUACUACCGACUAAGAUACUUCCAAGAAGAUAUCGGUGGCAACAUGACCAAGAAUGUAUGGGAAAUCAGGCAGAAACAAACAAAAAAAGGUAAAAAUGGAAGUGUAGACUAGAGAGAGCCUAACCACUAUGACUAUAGAGAUAGGCCAUGGCCAACCCAAAAGAUAAGCUCAGUGGCAUCAUCCUUCGUCCCCCAGCCCACUUGCACUUCCCCUGUCUUCACCAUUUCUUUUUCCAAUUUAUAAGAUAUUAUAUUAAAAUCAUUUUCAAGUUUGUGUGAAACUAUUUUAUUAGAAUUUUUUUUAAUUACGUGCUGUUUGUUUAUAUUAAUUUAUGUUUUUAUUUCCAUUUUUUAGAAAAUUGAGUUCCAAAAAUGAAAAUGGCGAAUACAUUAAUAUGGAAUUUUUAAAUAUUUCUUAAAAAUUUUGAAAACUAGUUUUUGAACCGUUGUGCAAAAAAGAAAUAAAAUCAAUUAAAAGAACUUACGAGACUCACAAUAUCAAAUAAAUAUGCAUAUUACAAAAAUAAAACAAAUAUUAAGAUAAAUAAAACAUUGUUUAAUAUAUAUGUUUGAUAUCGAACAAAUAAGAUUUUACAAAUUUUAAUUUCUGUAAACAAUUUUUGCUUUUUGUUUUAAUUAAAUCAUAUAUUUGAGAAAAGAAAAAAAUAAGAGAUGAAGGGCUUAUUUGACAACCGUUUUUUAAAACAAUUUUUGGGUAUCCCAAAUAAAAAACACAUAAAAUAUAUUUGAUAAUAAAAAAAUGUUUUUUACUCUUGGCAAUACAAAAUAGAAUAUUUUCAAAAGAAAGUUUUUAGUUGUUUUGUAUUAUUUUCAUUUAUUUUUUCAAUAACAGUUUUAAAAAAUAAUUAUAUAAUAUUAAAAAUAAAUUAUUAUAUAUAAUUUUUUUUAAAUAUAUUUCAAAAUAUUAAAAAACAGAUUAAAAAUAUUUUAGAUUUUCAAAUAUAAUUUUGUUUUACAAAAAUCAGAGAAUAGUUUUCAAAAAUUAUUGUUGAAAACUAUUUUUCAUAAUUGUUUUAAAAAAUAGUUAUCAAAUAGCCUCAAAAUUUAUUUUUAAAAAAUGAAAACUAGAAAACAUUUUUCAAAUCAAAUGCAACUUUAAUGUUAUAAUAUAAGUUAAAAAAGUAACCUCAAUAAUUUUUUAUUUAUAAUAUAUUAUAUAACAAAAAAAAUGAUUCUUUUGAUAAAAUUACCUAUCNNNNNNNNNNNNNNNNNNNNNNNNNNNNNNNNNNNNNNNNNNNNNNNNNNNNNNNNNNNNNNNNNNNNNNNNNNNNNNNNNNNNNNNNNNNNNNNNNNNNAAAAAAAUGAUCUUUGAUUAAAAAUUACCUUAUCAAGGGAUUAUUUAGAAAUUAUUUUUAAUAUUCUCCUAGAUUUUUAAAAUUGAUCAAAGUAAAUUAUAAAAAUGUAUCAAACACUUAGUUUUUUUUAUAUAAAAAAAAACACAUUUUUAAAUAUUGGAAAGCAAUUUUUUUAUCCCUUCUAAAAGAACUCUUAACCGUACAAGAUGCUAUAUGCAUCAUGUUGUAUUAUUAUAUUCAAGGGCGUGUACAAUAUUUUUUUUAAUGAAUUUAUUUGAAAAAACAUGCAUUAAAGGUAUCUUUUUCCUUUUUUUAAGUAAACUUUUUGAUAACUUUUUCUCUUUUAGGCAAAGGAUGACAAAUAAAUUCAACGGCCAUAAAAAGCAUCAAAAUCAUGAUAUUAUUUUUUAAAAAAAAUAUUAAAUACCUUUGAAUGGACUUAAAUUGUCAUAUUUUUAGCUUUAAUUGUAAAAUGAAACUAAAUCCAAAGUUCUAAAUUUUCAAAUACUCAACCAAAUUUUGAAUUCAAUUUUAUCCUACUCUAACAGAUUUUGUGCUGAUCCGACAAUAAUGAUAUAUUUUCAUAAUAUUUCAUUGAUAAUUAAUAUGACAUAUUAUUUUUUUUCUAUUUAUUUCAGGUCUUAUAAACUAUACUAAUGACAUGGACAGAUCUGUUACUUCAUCCAAAUGUGUCAAAGAUUCUCAUCAUACUUAAAAGUCGAGUAUUCUAUCAUUAUCAUAAAAGUUUUAUUAAAUAUUAAAUGAAUUUUUUUCAAUACUAAUUGUUUUCUUAAAUCAUAAAAUUUUUGAAGGAUUUAUUAAAUUUUUUUAUUUAAAAAAAAAAGGCUUUUAGCUUCUCUGAACAAACUUCAUAAUCCAAACGAAAAGAAUCAUUGUGAAAUCAUAAUCCCCUCUAAUUAGAAGAUGAUACAAAUCUCUCUUUGAUUCUUAGGGGAGAAGGAAAUGAAUAAAGGUAAAAUUGCAUGAAAAAGGGGGUUAGAAAGAGAAAUGGAGUGUCGUUAGCUGUAUCCACUAUAAAAAUGGGAAUCAAAGUUGAAAACGCGUUUUCUUUUGGGCCCUCAAACGUGGGAACUUUUGGCCAUUCUUCGUCUUCUUCACAUGCCCAACAACUCCCCCCAUCUCCACCAUUUCAAAGCCUACUACUAUUCCAUUCACAUUCACAUUUCACCCUUCCCUCACCUCCCCAUACAUAUACAAAUAUUUUUCUUCUUUAUAUUAUCUUCUCAUAUUAUUAUAUUCUAUACUUUAUUAUUAAUUCCCUUUUAUUAAUUGCCUAAAAUCUUACUAUAAAAAAUAAUAUAUGUAUAUAAAAAUAAAUAAAAAAUAAAAAAUUGAAGAAGUUGGAGGGCAAUAAUAGAAGGAGAAAUGGAGAGAAGAGAUGUAUGUGAUGAUUGAUGAAUUUGUUAUUAGAAGGAACAAAAAUUUGGAGGUUGUAUAUGAAUAUAUGCCAUGGAGAGAAUCUUGGUGGAUCUACUUUUUGUGACACUUUCCAUCACCCACCAAUGGUCACAACAUGGAUUUCAUUUGUCUACCAUCUCAAGUUCAAUGGCUUUUAUUUUAUUAUUUAUUUAUUUAUAUAUAUAUUUUUUAUUAUAUGCUUCAAAAUGUAUUAUGGCUAGUUAUGUAGGACCCUCUUCACUUAUAUGAAUGGUGGUUAUUAGGCAUAUUAUAGAUGUAAGAACAAGAAUAAUGAAAUUUAUUCUCCAUUGUAUGAUUAUUGAAAUGAUAGCAAGGAUUUAUUUUUUCUUCUUUUUGCAUAUAUAUUGUUAGGUGAUGGCUAGCAUUUUAUUAAUCAUAUUCUUCAUAAUUUCAUAUAAAAUGGGAAAAUAAGGGUUUGUUUGGAAACAAUUUUUAAAAGUAAUUUUUAAAAAUGGUUUUUGAAAACUAUUUUAUGAUUUUUAUGGAACAAAAAUCUGUUUGAAAAUAUAAAAUGUUUUUAAUAUGUUUUAAACAUGUUUUAAAAAUAUUUUUUAUAGUAGUGUGUUAUUUUAAAUUAUUUUACAUGUUUAUAUAAUUAUUUAUUAAUAUAUUUUUCAGAAAAUAAAUAAAAAUAAUAAAAAACAAAAUAGAUUUUUUUUUAAAUGCUUUGUUUUAUGUUCUUAAAAAUAAAAAAUAGAAAACAAUUUUUGGUUAUCAAACGUGUUUCUUAUGUUUUCUGUUUUAUAGAUUAGAAAACUAUUUUAAAAAAACAGUUUCUAAAUACGCCCUAAAUUUAUAUUUUCUUAAUUGAUUUGGAACAUUUUUUUAAAAUAAAAUAUGCAUAUGAGAAGAAGAAAAGAGAAAAGAAUAAUAGGAAUACUCGAAAAAUAAUUUGCCCAUUUGUGACAUUAAAAGAAAAACAUAAUUAUUUUGAGUAUUAAUAUGGUGCAACGUUUGGAAAAAAAAAUCAUUGAAUUAGUCAUAACAAGUCAUAUUAAUUGGAAUCCAUAAAUCAAUGGCAUCUCCAUAAUUUUAUUGGAGUUUAAGACCAAAAUAAUAUAUUUAUAAAAAAAAAUGAUAAGAAUAGUAUCCAUUUGAAAAUAUUUGUCAAAGUAGUCUUCUUUAUCCACGUAAGCAUCCACAUAGAUUUUAAGUGUAAAGAACCACCGUUGGUAACUGUGGUUUUAGAACUUACAAAAAUUUCCUUAAAACCACAGUUACAAACUGUGGUUUUACAAUUUCUCUUAGAACCACAGUUACUAACUGCGGUUUUAAAAUAAGUUUCCUUAAAACCACAGUUACAAACUGUGGUUUUACAAUUUCCUAACUUUACAAUUAUUUUUAAUUCGUUCACAUUUUAAUGGUGUUAUAAUUUUAAUAUUAUUUUUAAAAUAUUUUUUUUAUCAAAACAACCAUAAAACCACAGUUAUUCAAAUUAGUGAUGUUAUGUUAUUCACAUGUUUCCUUGAUAAUUUAAACAAAUAAAACUCAAAUGCAUCCUAAAGUCUAAAUGAAAUAAAUUCUAACUAAAUAAAUUAUUACAACCACUACCUAUUUUUCUUUCAUAUAAUUAAAAAAUUAUACAUUUUAACCCAGACAUAAGUUCAAAUCAUACUUAAUAAUAAAUAACCUAAAAUCAUAAUCACUGACAUUAAUUUUCAUAUGAAAAGAUAAAAUUUUAAAAUAAUAUAAACAAUUUCUUUAGUUAUUUUAAAAUUUAAAAAUAAUAUGAAUAAAUAAUUUUCUUUAGUUCAUAUGUGAAAAUAUUUGUAAAACAAAUAAAUAUUUUAUUUACUAUAAAUAUAUAAAUUUUUAUGGGAAUGCAUGUAGACCAAAUUAUUUUCUCAAAUUUUCAAGGAAAAUAUGAAAAAAUAAAGAUAAUAUAUAUAUAUAUAUUUUAAAACAGUCGUAACAAAAAAAUUUGUGAAAAGCAAAAUUCUAAAAUCCCAUACUUUUUUAUACAUGAGUCCCCUUAAAAAUAUUUGUGAAAAUUACAACAUAAUUGUAAUUUUGAUAAAAAAAUAUUUUAAAAAUAAUAUUAAAAUUACAACACCAUUAAAAUAUAUGCAGAAUGAAAAUAAUUGUAAAACCACAGUUACUAACUGUGGUUUUAUGGGUAUUUUGAUAAAAAAAUAUUUUAAAAAUAAUAUUAAAAUUACAACACCAUUAAAAUAGAUGUGAAUUGAAAAUAAUUGUAAAACCACAGUUACUAACUGUGGUUUUAAGGGAAAUUGUAAAACCACAGUUUGUAACUGUGGUUCUAAGAGAAAUUGUAAAACCACAGUUUGUAACUGUGGUUUUAAGGAAAUUUUUGUAAGUACUAAAACCACAGUCACCAACGGUGGUUCUUUACACUUAAAAUCCAUGUGGAUGCUUACGUGGAUAAAGAAGACUACUUUGACAAAUAUUUUCAAAUGGAUACUAUUCUUAUCAUUUUUUUUUACAAAUAUAUUAUUUUGGUCUUAAACUCAUUUUAUUGUGUGUCAAAAUCGAUUACAAAAAAAAAAAAAAGAAAAAAAAAAAGGUAAAUUCAAUCGAAUUUUCUAUCAAUUACGAGAAUAGAUUACCCCAAAAAGGCUAAAGGCCAAAGGCCAAGAAAAAAAAAUUAAAAAAGAAAAGAAAUAUUGAGUGGGCCCACGCAUGAGACCAAGGGAUGGCCCAUUAGCGUAGCACACGUGCAAGCCUUGUGAGGCCAAUUUCUUAGCAAAGUCCAUAUAUGAACUGUCAAAAGAGAAGAAACAUCAGCCGGUCAAAAAGCGGUCCAAUUUUAAUGGGCCAAUUCUUUAUAGUGGGCCCAUUCCGUCCCUUCACUUUAUUUCUAGGGAUAUGACCUCACUUCAAUAUCUUUGCUUUUAAUCCUAAGUUCAAUUUAUUUUUAUUUUUUACUUUAAUCAUUCUUUUACCACAAUUUUCAUAAUUUAUCACCACCCUUAACUUCUUGUAGACUUUUUUAUAGCUUACCAUUUUGGUCCAUUUAUACUAUAAUUUUCUAAAUAUUUAGGUCCUGUUUGGAUCGACUUUUAAGAAGUCAAAAUGUCUUAUUUAUUUAUUUAUUUAUUUAAGCUCAAUAAAAACUUAUAUAAAUUUUAUUUAGAUGUUUUAGGGUUUUUAAAAAAUAUUACUAUUAAAGUUAGAAAAACUUUACUUUUAAAAUUCUAAUUUUGACUUUUGGUAGGUCAAACUUCUUUUCUAUAAGUUCAAUAAGAAUUUUCUAUGCACUUUUCAUUUUGUUUAAAGAUUUUAUGGUUUAAAAAAUUCCUUAAUAUGAAAAUUAAUGAAUAUUUUAUAAUAUUAAUAUCCUCCUUUAAAAUUUAUGACUUUAGUUUUAAUUUCCAAAAAAAAAAAAAAAAAAAGAAUCUCAAACCAGGACUUACUCUUUUUUUUUCUUUUAUUUCAUGCCAUUAUUAUUAUAAUUAUUAUUUACUAAAUUUUGCUAUUUUUAAACUUAAAACCAAAAAGGUAGAAAAUAAUGAAAAGAGAAAAAAAAAAAAAAAAAGGGAAAAAGGAAAGCUUACGCAUCAUCAAUAGAUUUUGAUAUACUUGGAAAAAACAUAUUUCAUUUGGUAAAAUGCUUAAAUCUAUUUGAUUGAAUGUUUAAUUAUUUACCUUUAAUAAAAACUUUUAAAUUGACAUAAGCUGGAUUUUAGGCCCUUAGAAUCAUAUUUAUUAAUAAGGCAAAUAACGUAUAUAAAAAAUGAAUUUUUUUACUAAAAUUUAUGAGGUCAUUGUAUUUCUUUUAUCGUGAAAAAUGUGUUUUUAUAUGCUGAUAUGAAAAAAAAUAAAAAAUCAUAAAAUAGGAACUCAAAUAUAUAAAACACAAAUUUUAAAAUGUUAUUUUAAAAUAAUUAAUUUUUUUUUUUACAAACGUGUUACCUUUCGGGUAUUAUUAUAUUACCAUUGAUUUUUUAUAUUUAAAUAAUGCAAUAAUUUAUUAAUUAAAAAUUAAUUUUACAUUAAAAUAAAAAAUAUUUAUAUUUUUAAUAUUAUUUUGAUGAUGAUGUAUAUUCAUAAUAAUUUUAUAAUUUAUUUUUUAAAACACUUAAAUAAUGCAUUUAAUUUCAUAAUUUAUCAAACAUUUAACUUUUUCUCAUAAUUUAUUUUCAACAUAAUCAAUGUGAAAUUUAAAAUUGGGACUAUCAAAUAAAACAAAUAUUUAAUGAAAAAAAUAUAUAAAAAUCCAAAAUUCUCGAGCUCCACCGAAAUUGUAGGUGGGGGAAAAAUAAUAAUAUUUAAGCCAUAAAAAAUUUUAAAAUUAAAAAGAAAGAAAAGAGAGGGAAAAAAAGUACAACAACCUCUGUCAUUCUUCGCGGUUGCCGUUUCAUUUUCUUUCUCUGCCGUUUUGUCAAAAAUCUCACUCCGCUAACGGCGUAGAAUAUUUGGAACAGCUGUGCGUGCACCUCCGCGAGUGUCUAAUGGCCCGUACUCGCUCGAAUGAUUGACCACGUGUCACACAUGCAAAGGAGGAACAUAUAUCGCAUGAAAUUACGGAAACGCCCACGAUAAACACUGAGAGGUAAAAUGUAACUACAUUCCAUGGAACACGGCAAUCUUUUUUCCCGAAUAUAUGCUGUCACUACUGACUCGCUCCCCUCGCGGGAAUACGAGCCUCACGCGCUAUAAAGGAGCGUGGUGAGUCCUCCUCCAAUCACAUAGGAGAAUAGUGCUCUUCUUUCACCCAUCGACAUCAGCUAUGGUCCAUUCAAACACCUUUCUUUUCUCCAUUCUUUUAUUUUUUUGGACAUCGCUGACGUCAUCAAUUUUUUUAUUGAGUUUAUUAUCCCGCGUAUGAAAAUUUAAUUAUUUAUAUUAUUUUAUAAUUACACGUCAUACUAAUAGUUUUAAUUUUAUUGUAAUACAUAUACUCCUCGUGCCUCAAUAACUCAUUGAAUUUAUUAUUUAUCAUAUAAAAUUUUAAAUUUCUAAUAAUUUAAUCUAAAUUUAUAUAUUUUAUGUUAAAUUUACAAAAAUGAUGAUAUCGAGUGUUUUAUUACAUUUUUUUAUUUUUUAUUUUAAUAAUUAUUUGAUUUUAAAUUGGAACCGAUUUGAUAAUGAUUUUAUGAAUGGUUUUUUUUUUUAAUUUUUUUAACAUUUUAAAAAUAUUUGAAAAAAUGUUUUAUAUGAAUGACAAGACGUUCCAAACCCGUUUAUUUAAAUUUUAGACCGUCUUAUUAGGAAUAAGAUAAUGACACUAAUCAUCCCGAUGUCAUUCAUAAUUUUUUAGAAUUACCAUCAAACGUAAAUUUGUAUUAAUUUAGAUUUUCAUCUUGCCAUGAUUUAAAAUUUUUUAUUUUAUUUAGGUUUUGAAAUUUUGAUUAUUUUUAAGAAUACAAAAAUGAUUUUUUUUUUAGAUUUUUCAUUAAAGUUUAUCCCAAUUAUAAUAUUUAUUACCAUAGACAAAUCUUUUAAAGGACAAUCAGAUUGGAUGUUAUUAUGAUAUUUAAAAAUUAAUGUUUUCUAAAUGAUUUAAAUGAAGCCGUCUACAAUUAUUAUUAUUAUGUAUUAUUUAAUUAACGUACAAAAGUGUAUGUUGAUGAGUAGCUAUUUAAAAUCAAAGCCAAGUAUGGAGUGUAAGAAAGUCUAGAAGAUUUACAAAAUCUUAACAGGUGUCUUGUUUUGAUUGGUGGAGAGGAUGGUGUAUGGUGGACCUUCCAUACCAUAGAGCCAGCCUAGAAGCGAUGAGCAUCGUAUCAUUGUGAACACAUGCAUUCCCCACGCUCUUUGCAUGCGCGUGAAUAUCUCUCGAUCACCAUCAUGCAAACUCUCUUGCACUCUCUCUCUCUCAAAAAUCGGUCACCGUACUUUUUCUCUCUCCAGAAUCAUUCUAAAGCCAGAGUCUCUCUCUCCUGUUUCUCUCCAAAAUCACACUCUUCAUCACUCUCCCUCUCUCUCUCUAAAACCAGUUCACCACUGUUGACUCUCUCUAUGAAGAGCUCACAUUCACAUUCUUCUUACUCUACUCUCUCUUCGUCGGUUCACCAAUCUCUUUGAUUUCACCUUUGAUUCGUAUUUGUUGCAGUUAGGGUCAGGGUUAGUGUUUGUAAUGGAUCGGAAGCAAGGGUUCUUCGCGGCGUUGAAGGAGGAGGUGGUGAGGGGGCUUUCUCCGGCGAGGUCGCGGGCGAAGAGUCCGGGGAGGGCGGGGUCGCCGAUGUCGGGGCUGUUACGGAGGAGGAAGCAGAGCCACAACCAGUACGUGGCAAAUCCGGAGCCGCUGAUUUCGAGAUCGGGGAGUUUGAGGCCGGUGGUGGGGGAGACUUUGACGCCAUUGAUGGAGGGUCCGGAUCCAGACGGCAGCGAAAUCGGUGAGUCGAAGCGGAGUGGCUUAGGCUUAGGGCAUUGGAUGAAGGGACAGCUGUCCAGGACUCCGUCUGUGACUUCUGCGGCGUACAGGAGGUCUGAUCUCAGGCUGUUGCUUGGGGUGAUGGGCGCUCCUCUCGCCCCGGUGCACGUUAGCACCACUGACCCUUUGCCUCACCUGAGCAUCAAGGACACUCCCAUUGUGAGUAUCCCUCCCUCUAUUUGCUUGAGGUUUUUCUUUAUGAUUUUUUUAUUUAUUUUCAACUCCAGUGUGAUCAUUGAAGUGAGACAGCAAUUCGAUGUUUUGAUUUAGGAGAGCAGAGUGUUUGUUUAUGAGCGUUCUUUAUCUUUUCUCUUUAUUUGUACACAUGGUUUGGAAUGCUUCAAAUUAAUCUUUUCUCUUUUGGUAGUUGUGAUUUACAUUUAAGAUUUUCCAUUUUCUAACGUUUCUUGAUUUUUUUCUCGUUUGGUUGAUGAUGGAGGGGGAGGAAAAGAAAAAGGAAAAGAAAAAGAAAAUGAAAAUUUAGUCUUGAAUUUUACGUAUGAAAAAAAGAUCUUUCUAUCGAGCCCGAUUGGGCGGAGGGUUUUUUUUUUUUUCCCCUGUUUUGACUGUUUCAAACACCUAAAAAAUUAUCAUAAUUUUGUUUUAUUUUUCUACAUUUUUUAUGAUUAGCUAAAUCACUAAGAUCUUUGCAGCAUAAACUUUUAUAACUUUCAUUUAGAUCCAUGAGCUUGUAUAUUUUUUGCUUUUAGAUUUUUUUUUUUCAAAUUUAAAUAUUUUUUUUGGCUGGAUGUGUGGGGAUGAAAAUGGGAUGUUGGUUGCUGAGAUUCAGUUGAUCCGAGGGCUUGAAAUUAUUUUCUUCAAUUGGCAGCGUUCAACUUUAUAUUGUCUGUAGCUGAGUGAAAUUACCCUGAAUUUUUGUCUGCUUUGUGGGUGUUAUUGUAGGAAACUUCUUCUGCCCAGUACAUAUUGCAGCAAUACACAGCUGCCUCUGGAGGGCAAAAACUGCAGAACUCAAUUCGAAAUGCUUAUGCCAUGGGAAAGGUGAAGAUGAUAGCUUCUGAGUUUGAGACUGCAACUAGGGUUUUGAAGAACCGGAAUGCCUCAAAAGAUGCAGAUUCAGGUGGGUUUGUGCUCUGGCAGAUGAAUCCAGACAUGUGGUAUGUUGAACUUGCAGUUGGGGGUAGCAAGGUUCAUGCUGGCUGCAAUGGCAAGCUUGUCUGGAGGCACACACCCUGGCUGGGAGCGCAUUCUGCAAAGGGCCCUGUUAGGCCGUUGCGUCGAGCUCUUCAGGUGAAGCUUUACAUGAUCAUUCACUUGCUCUAGUUUUGGUUUUCCAUUUUAAUCAGUCUUCUGAUCAGAUGGCUUUAUUGCAUUCUUUAUUUCAGGGCCUUGAUCCAAGAACCACCGCUAGUAUGUUUGCUGAUGCAAGAUGCAUUGGAGAAAAGAAGAUCAAUGGUGAGGAUUGCUUUAUCCUCAAGCUAUGUGCUGACCCUCAGACAUUGAAGGCCAGGAGUGAAGGCCCAGCAGAGAUCAUAAGACAUGUUUUGUUUGGCUACUUCAGCCAGAAAACGGGUCUUCUUGUUCACAUGGAGGAUUCCCAUCUUACCCGCAUCCAAUCCAAUGGUGGAGAUGCUGUUUACUGGGAAACCACAAUCAAUUCAUUCCUGGAAGAUUAUAGGCCAGUUGAAGGGAUCAUGAUAGCUCACUCUGGGCGGUCAAUAGUGACCCUUUUCAGGUUUGGAGAGAUGGCAAUGAGCCAUACCAAGACCAGGAUGGAAGAAACUUGGACAAUUGAAGAGGUGGCAUUCAAUGUUCCUGGCCUUUCAGUGGACUGUUUCAUCCCUCCAGCUGACUUAAGAUCAGGGUCCAUUAGUGAAGCCUGUGAACUCCCUCAUGAAGAAAGAGGAAAGAGCUCAGUCUCCCUAGCAGCACACCGUGCCAAAGUUGCUGCGCUGGAGAAAACGCAUGAUGGUGGCAUUGAUAAUGUGAUUUGGAGGAUGGAAGUCUAACAAAGGGGUAGGAUUAAAUUAGGGCAAUUGUUUAUAUUGGUAGCUAGUUUUAAUUUACUAACAGAUUAGAUGGUAAAGUUACAGAGUAGGUGCUAAGUUGAUCGAGGGCUUUUGGAAGUUGCGGUAUGCCUCUAUUAAUCUGUAAAUAGAGCAUAAUCAUUCACAGGUUCCACCUGGGCCUCGAUGAAUCUUUAUACUCUCAAUGCAGGAUCCAGCUAUGGAGUUGGAGCUCGAUUUUCCAAUUAGGGAUAGAGCAAGUGGAGGUUUUGUUUUUUAGUUUACCUUCCAUGCAUGAAGGUGGUGAAGCUUUGGUAUAGCAGAUCCAUUAAAACCUUUUUAUGAUUCUACUAAUUCUCUUUGUCUAAAUGAAUACGGUUGUGGUAGCGACAAAAACUCUGCUACCAUCAUCCUAAAUGGGUUUGACACUAAUAUCUUAGUCCUUUAAUUCUACUGUUCAUGGAUGUGCUAGUCCUGGUGUGGUUGUUUGAUGUUAUAGUUCUUGGUUUGGGAAGUAAAAAGGAUUUCUUCAGAUCUGAGGGAAGAAAGGCAGGCAGGGUAAAAGAAGAAAAAACUCUGUAGUGUUUGUUUUUUAUUUUUGAUAGACUCUGCCACAAAAAUAUGUCUGAUAUGGGGUUUCUGGUUGUAGUGUGGCAUAUUGUCAGUGCUGCCAAGAAAAGAUGUAAACAGGACAUUGUGUCCGUCACAUAUUGAAUGCUUAUGAAUGUAGAGAUAAGCAUCUCUUCCUUUUGGAUCUCUGUGAAUUGUACAUUUCAAAUCUUUUUCAAUGCCCAGACCCUCUUUUUAUGAUGAGUAGAGAUAUAAAAGCCAAAACUCCUGUGUUUCUGUAUACAUAUUGAAUGCCCAAGUCUUAUUUUUUUUUUUAAUCACAGUAGUUUUCCUGAGCCUGUAAAUUGUUUGAUCAUUGAUAAGAGCUUCAGUUCUUAGAUCUCUUGCCUGUGGUGGGUAGGGUGUGGUUGGGGGUCUCUCUGAACUGAAGGUCUUCUUACUAUCCAUCUGUCCAUGGAUCUCUUAUCUUAGCAUGGUGCUACACAGCAUCUAGGGUUGGUUGUUGGAAAGUUAAGUGGCAGGGUUGCCCUUAGCCUCUCUUCCUUUACUCUCCCCCACCUAGUGGGGGAUGGUGGGGUCUCUGCAAAGUUGCUUUACUGUUUUUUAAAACCCAUCUCUCACCAGUGGCCAUCAAAAAAUUAACCAAUGUGGGGUUAGGUUGGAAGUGGGUUUGCCUCGUUUGAGGCAAAGCUUGUGCUUGAAAUAUCAUUACAGCACCAGGGGCACUAGGUGAAAGCCCUUGCUAAACCCCCAUGUGACUUCUAUCUUUUUAGCCCUUCUCCUUCCUCAGCACAGCUGUUUUGUUUUCUCUUACAUUUUAACCUGCUUUUCCAGACCUUGUCUUUCUCUUCUUUACUCCACUAGGGGUGUUCUUAAAAUAUAUAUAUAUGAAGUUUCCACCUCGUGAUGAUGUUCCUGAAUGGUCAAAUUCUGAAUUGAUGAGUGGGGGCUUAGUAUCAUUAGCUUUUUGGGGUAAGGUACAUAGGAGCAUUCGUAUUGAUGGUGGUUUUUGGAUGGGAGGGAUGACUUGGAAAAGUAUCAGUACAAAUAGUAAAUGGGAUAGCCCACCUCUCCAACAAAAUCCCUACGCUCUUCAAUUAGGCAGUUGCUUGUCUUUGCUUUUCAUGGACCAUUCUGCGCUGAGGAUUUCUUGCUUUUCUUUUGUCUUCCAAUGGGAUUCUUCUUUUGCUUUGCCUUACACAUUGUGUAGUGUUUUUCUUUUGUGUUGCUAAGAAAAUGACCUCAAUUUGGGUGCCUAUCCAAAUUUUACUUGUGUCAGCAUAGUUGUUUCCAUGGGUUGAGGACCAUCCUAGUUAAGUUUUGAUUUUGCAAUUCCCUAAAUGUGAAGGAACAUUAAACAACUCUCCCAAGAGGCAACUCAACCAAACCCUUGUCCACCUUCUUAAUUGCCACCUUCCACUGUCACAAUCAGCUCCAUCUCACUUAUGCCUUGUUAUUAAGCAAAGCUUGAUAAAAAAUGGGACCAUUCAAUUGGUUGCUGCAUUCCUUUCAUUUAUUGAGUCCAAAUAUUUGACUCAAAUCACUACCUUAACUUCCAUUCUCACACGUCAGAGAAAGUGAUGGUCGACCGCAGCCUAGAAUCGUGCAAUUAAUUUAAUUAUUGGAUAACUUAGCUCAUUAAAUGGGGAAGACCACUGGUUAAAAAAUCAAGGCCAAGUGAGUUGAAGGUUGGUCUAAAGUCCAAGCUUUUCUUAGGAAGUGGGGCUCCAUUGAGUUUAGUGAAACAAUGUAAUAUACAAAUUCAUUCUUCUAAUAAACUAAUCUUGGGCAAGAACAUCUCAUAUUCUUUAUUUUAACAACCCCUCCUUUUCCUUUUCCUUUUCCUUUCUUAUACUGGCUUUGUUAGAUUCUAAAGUUGACUCAACACCCUCAAUCCUUGACUACAAGCUCUGCUACCAUUCCUUACCUUCGCUUCCAUAUAAACAUACAAGCAUGUGUUGGAGCGAAGGAGCGCCGGUGGCUCCGUCUCGCUCAAUCCCCUUAAGUUGAACUAUGACCAUUAUUUAUCAUAUGGAUAAAACAAAAUUUUGAUACCAUGUUAAACUAUUACUUUAGUGAAUUCAAAAUGAGCCAAGCUUGCGUGAAAUUUGGUUCAUUGACAAGGGCUAUGCUUGACUUCACUUAAGAGUAUAAUUAAGAGUUGGAAUCUUCACAAAAAUUAUGAUAAUACAUUUGAGGAAUGAAGCUAAUAUUUAUGGGUAUUUGCAAUUGACUUUGGGUGGCUUAGUAUAUAGUAUAUAGUAUAUAGUAUAUAGUAUAAUCAAUAAAUGUGGUAAGAGUUUUAGGAAGUGUUGUUGAUUUGCUUGACAUGUUGAGCACUUCAAAAAAUAAAAUAGAUGGGGGGGUUGGGAAUUGGCAUGAGAGUUGGAAUUCAAUUGGGUAGAUAUUUAUGUACCUGAAAAAAAGUGUCGGCAAGGGAAGCUUAUAUGUAUUGCAGUGUGAAAAGAUUGGGGAGUGAUGCAUUUAUGCUUUCUCAGGAUAUUCAACAUCACUGCUUCUCAUUUUACUGUACAUGUUUGGCUCUUUGUAAUUAUGAGAAAAAGAAUAUAAAAAAAUGGGAAUUUUAUUUAAGAAGAAAAAUAUUAAUGAGAUGCUUUUUUGCACAUAGGAGUUUAGGAAGAUGUUUUAAGAGUUAAUUAAAUUUUAUUACAAAUUAAGUUAGAGUAUUAGGUAAAUCUUUUACAAAAGAUUACGAGCUUGUGAUAAUUGUUUUUGAGAAUAAUUUUUUAUUUUCCAAAGCAAAAAAAUAAAAAAAUAAGUUUAACUACCAAAAAAUUGUUUUUUGAGAACUGUUUAAAAUAUAAUUAUACAAACGUGUGAAAUAAUUAAAACUAAAGUACUUAAAUAUAAAAAUUAUUUUUAAAAUAUAUUUAAAAAUAUUAAAAAUAUUAAAAACAUUUUAAAUUCUCAAACAUAUUUUUAUUUAACAAAAUAUUAGAGAAUGGUUUUAAAAAAUUAUUUUUUAGAAAUAUUUUAAAAAACAGUUAUCAAACAAAACCUGUAAAACACUUGAUUAAUUGUAGAACUAAUUUUCAAAGUAACCAAAUGACCUUCAUUUGUUGGUUAUAUAACCUUAUUCACCUAUGCAUUUAGGAAUGAUAAUGAAAGUUUUUGGACGCCAUUGUCAUCUCACCCCUCAUCAAAUAAUGUUGGAAAAAGUACAAAUGUUUUAAAAACCAGUUUGAAUUUUUUUUAAAAAAAAACUCGAACUAGGUUCAAUUAUUAUUUUAUCUCGUGCCGUCCGAUUAUAUAUUAAUUAAAUAAAAAUAAAUUUAUUUGAUUUAUUUUUUAUUUUUCUUUUUUAAUACAUAUAAAAAUAAAAUAUGUUUCAUAAAAAUAAAUAAAUAAAAUUUUAUAAUAUUUAUAUUUUUACAAAUUACAUUUACUUUGAAUAUAAUUAAAAAAUUUAAAAUAAAAAAAAAUAUUAAAUGAAAAUUUCCCUUAUCCUCCUCUACCCAUUUGCUAUAUUCACUGACCAAUAACUGUGAGGAAACUAUGGUAUUUAUUAUUUAUAAAGAAAACAAUUUGUAGUUGGAUACGAAAUGAAUUGAGAAUCCUUAAAAAUCCUCGAAUAGAUUUCAUUGGUUGGCUGCCCACUUAACUCUCUUGGCUUAUUAUAUCUUGCCACGACAAAGCCAAACAACCAUAGGAAUGCGCACGUGCUGUUUUGAGAAACAAUAUUGACAUUAAAGAAAGCAUUGGAAGAAGAGCCAAAAAUAAUACUGGAUUUUUAGGAAGACGGGUAUGAAAAGAUUGAAAGUUAUCUCCUUGAUUUUAGGGGGAAAAAAAUGAUAACACGUUCCAUAUAUUAUUUUCCCUAGAAUUCUCCCAAAUAUUGGACUCCUAUGACUUUAAAUGUAAAUAGGAUACAUGUAUUGUGAUGGUGAAUUAAUAAUAUUGUUUUGUUUUUUUUUAAGAAUUUGAUUCUUCAUCGACCCACUUCAUAUUAUUUUCCUUUAUUGAUUUGAUUUUUUCUAUGGAUAUUGAGAUUUAUAGAUGUUACGGUUCUAUUAUAUUAAUGUAAGGUAAAUGACCUGAUAUUAAAAUACAAAUAAACAAAAAUAUAGUAUAUAUAUAUAUAAAACUUUUAUAAUGGUUCGAUGUUAUUAGAUUGAGAUCCACUCUCUUCAAACUCUUAAUCAUAUCAAAAUUACACUAACAAAACUUCAAGCUUUACACUUAAAUUGAUUGACUUCAUUAGACACUUACACUUUUUCUUAAAAAUGUUUUAUUCUUGAAUUUCCUAAGUGAUAUCCCACAUUUAUGAUUUCUAAGUGAUACCUUACAUUUAAAUGUGUUCCUCAAGUGAUACCUCGCAUUGGAGUCUAUGAGCCACCUUAUAAGGUAUACAAGAAAAUAUUUGAUAAGAAUAUAACUUUUAGUUUAUUAUUUUAUACAAUAGAAUAUAAGGAAAUUAUGGUUGAAUGGUGCACUAAGAUGAAAUGCAAAUUUGAAAGUGCAAUUUAAAAACAUUUCUCCAAGAAUAAAAUAAUAUUCAAGAAUGAUUUAAAACAUUUCUCCCUCGAUACAAGAAGUUUGGAGCCUUUAAAUAGGAAUUGGAAACAUAAAUGAGCUAUUAGACACAGUUUGGGUUCUAAUAAUUGACCAAUCGAUCAAUCAAGCUUUAGCCAUUAAGGUUACUGUUACCCAACUAGCUCAAUCAAUUUUCAACCAACUCUAUCGAUUUUUAAUUGGUUGAUGUAUAACCUCGAUUGAAUAAAUACAUGAAGAGAGAGAGUAUAAGUGCACCUUGACUAGUACAAUCCAAUUGACUCAAUUGGUUCCUUCCUACCUCAACUAGUUGCACUAUACAGUGCAUAAAAGACCCCAAUUUGAAGUUUGGACCCUUCAACCAUUUGUAUUCAAUUUCGCAAACCCUUUAAAGCAAGUUUAAGAAAGAUUAGAUUUAGAGUUUUAAUAUAAAAAAAUGAAAUCAUCCAAUUUAUAAAAAAAAAUAAAAAGAAAACCAAUUUAAACAUUAAAGAAGUUUGUAUGACACUAUUUCCCAAUUUCUCACAAUUUGGAGAUAAAAAUAUCAUUUAUUGGCUAAAAAAAUCACUUCAUGGGCUUAAGCAAGCUUCUCAUUAAUGGUUUGUUAAAUGAUCAUUAGAAUUAUUAGAUGUUAGUUAUAGGUAAUCAAAGGCACAUUAUUCAUUGUUUAUUGAACUUACAAAAGAUUCUUUCACUACAACAACAUUGAUGCAAUCUAGGCCACUAAACAAUUUUUGCACACUAAAUUCCACAUUUGAGAUUUGGGAAUUCUUGAAUACUUCCUUGUGAUUGAAGUUUUUUGCUUAAAGUGUGGUAUCUUUUUUAGUCAAAGAAAAUAAUCCUUGAAGCUUUUUGAAGAAUUUGACCUUCUUGCUUCCAAGCCUUCUUCUAUACCUUUGGAAUAUCUUCUUGAGCCAAACAUAUUCAAUGUUAAGUUAGUAAUAAAUCCUUCUAGUUAUUGUAGACUAAGUAGGUUAUUGUAUCUCAUAGUCACUCGGCUAGAUAUCUCCUAUAGUGUUCAAGUAUUAAGACAAUUUUUGGAUAAGCCGUGACAACCUUACCUUGUUACAAUAAAUCAUGUUUUUUGUUAUCUCAAAGGCUAUUAUAGGUAUGGAAUUCUUCUAUCUUCUUCUAUUACACUAAAGUUAAAUGCUUACAAUGAUUCAAGUUAGGCCGGUUGCCUAGAUUCAUUGUUCCAAUAUAGGAUAUUGUGUUUUGCUUGGGGAUUCACCAAUUUCUUGGAAAUCAAAGAAACAAUAUAUUGUUUUGUGUUUCUUAGCUAAACUAAAUAUUGGGUAAUAGUCACUAUUUGUUGUGAAAUCACUUGGUAAAAUUUUUUGCUUAUUGAUCUCAAUGUUUGUAACAUGAAGCACACGAACCUUGCUACUCUUAUUUGUGACAAUAAAAGAGUUCUCCAUAUUGUUGCCAAUCCUGCUUUUCUUGAGUAUGCCAAGCACAUCAAAAUCCAUUGUCAUCUAAUUCGCCAAAAGACUCAAUAGAGAUUUAUUCAAAUAGUUCAUCUUCCUUCGACUAAGCAGUUAGCUAACAUCUUUACAAAAUCUUUUGGGUUAAACCAUUUUCGCAUCUAAUUUUCAAGUUGGGUGUUCAUAGCCUCCAUAUGUCAACUUGAGGGGAAAGUAUUGAGAUUUCAGCAAAAAUUAAUAUUGAAUUUUUAGGAAUGCGAGUAUGGAAAUAUGGAAAGUUGGCCCUUACUUGUUCCCAUUUUUAAUAUAAAUUAUUUUCUAGAAUUCUCCUAAAUAUUAGACCCCCAUAUGUAUAAAGAUAAAUAAACUACAUUAAUACCAUGUGAUAGUGAGUUAACAAUAUUGUUUUGUUUUAUUAUUUUUAUCUUAAAGCAUAUAGAUUCUUUAUUUUUGCAUACAAAAUUAAAAUUUGAAUGAAGUGUAGCUUGCCAUGAUUUUAGUUUAGAUUUUUGAAAACUAGGGCCUGCUGUUACACGAUCCAACAAGGAUGCUUUCAUUUAGUGUCCAAGAGUCGGAUAAAUGGCACAAUAAUGGUUUCGUCUAGCUCGCUCAAGAUGUGGACGACUGUGGAACUUGCAUACAAGGUUAUCUAGGUGGUUUGUCCGGGCACGCCCCUUCGAUGUUGAAGUCAAUAAAUGGCUUAAGCAAGUAAGAAAUUUUUUCAAAAAGAAAGCGCAUAUCAUUUAUAGAAUAUGCAUGGUUAUUUAUACCUAUUGUGGUCUAAUGUCUUUUUAGGUGUCUUAAUGACACUUUAAUUGUGCUUGAUUGCAUGAUAUUACGACAUUGACCUGCAUAACGCCUGUCUUGCCAUGAUGAGCCGCUGAGAAUUGAAUUUUUCCAGUAACAAUUGUAUUUAAUAUGAAGCGUGUUUGACACGUAAUCUGCGCAUUAAUGAGUGAGUAAAUGUGUGAAGGACAGUCGAGCAUCAAUCUUAUUGUAUUCAUGUAGGAUUUGUUCGUCUAACCUACUUUGGGACAGAUCAAUCACUCGACCUUAAGGUCAUUGGGUCAUACGACUAAAGAUGGUCUAUCAAACGACUUGCCCACCCAAAUGAUUGAUGUAGAGUAGAGGAUUACGGGACGACCUUGCAGAGGGGUCCUACAAGGCCUAUGUGCUUAGACAUUAACAUAAGUUACUAAUCACUUUUCAAAAGGCUUUGAUUUUUUUUAAAUUUGAUAAAUUAAAUUCUAGUGAUGAUUAAAAGAAAGAUGAAGAGAGGAGGUCUCGGUUGAGUCAAUUCCAUGUGGCCAUACCUAAUUUAAAAUCGUUAGCAAGUCACAUCAAGGUGGGCACCUAACUCCAUUCAAAUCUCUCUGUGGACCAUAUUCCAAUAAGAUUUGGGCCUGUAAAGUUGUGUUGCAAGGCCCAAAUAUUAACUUUCAACACCCUGAACAAUGGGGCCCUAUUGGAUUAGCCCAUACAUAUUUCCAACCAAAAAAAAAAAGAAGAAGAAGAAGAAGAAAAGAACCUAUAAAGAUUUGAAUUGAAGAUUGUGAUUAUGAAAUUUUAGAUCUCCACAUGAUGUAGUCUAUAAGCAAAAAGGUCGGUUCAUAAUGAAAAUUAUAAUUUGAUGCUUGAUACAUUCAUAUUAGCUUUAUAGGUUUGACCAAUACAAUAAGGGUUUGACUAAUUGAGUUUUAGUGGGCUUUAGGCCUAUAACCUAAUCUUCAAAGUACCAGGAUUUAUUCUAAAGUUUUAUUUACAAAUAGAAACAUUUCAUUUUUCAAAAUGCUUUUUUGAAUUGCUUAUUCUACAAAUCGAAUAGUACGUAAUAUUCAGAACCAUGAUCUGUUAUAUUUUUUAUUUAAAAAUAUAAUUAAAAAGACCAAGAUAUACAUUGUAAUAUUUAUUAGUAAAAGGCAGCAAAUUUAAGAAUACAGUGGGCAGAGUUUCAAUUCAAAGUUUUUUUUGUAAGUGUUUUUAAGAGAAUUAUUUAUCAAGCCUUUUUUUAUAAAAGGCUUAACAUGAUUUUUUUUUUUUUAAUUUUAAAAGUGUUUUCUAAAUUUUAUCAAACAAGUAUUUUUUUUUUUUUUAAAUGUUUUUUAGAUAAAAACACUUUUUAAAAUCAUUAUUGCUCUAAAUCCUUAAAUCCACCACUUUUUUGGAACAACUUUUUGUUUUAUCUGGAAGCUGAAGUCGAAUCCAAAGUCAUAAGUUUCAAAAGACGAUAUUGGUAUUCGAAGGCAAUGUUUGGUUUCCAAAAAAUUUGAAGAAAAAUACGAAAAAAAAAAAAAGAAUUUUUUUUUUUAAGUUAAUAAAUUAUUUUUAUAUGUUUUUUCAAAUUCAUUUACUUCUUCAUUUUCAUUAUAUAAAGAUUAAAUAAUUAAAAAUUACAUAAAUUUGUAAUUACUUUUAAUUAUAUUUAAUUUUCUUUUAUAUUUUACAUGAAACCAAACAUAAACAAACCAUUUUCUUUUAACAUUUUUUUUUUCUUUUAUUUGCACUUUCUAGGAACCAGAUAUAGCCUAAAAGUUUUAUUAAAUAUAAAAUAAUUUAUUGUAUAAACCGGCAAGAGCUAAUAUUUUUUUAACUUCCAUCUUGAACUCAUUUUAAAUUAUAAACUCUUUGAAUAAAAUUAGUAAAACACAUACAAAAGCUCCUAUUGAGUUCAAAAAAUAACUUUCAGCUCUUCAGAGUCAAAUCCAAACGGACCCUAUAACACAAAAGUAUUGUUUGUUAAUCCUUGAUGUUAUUUGUAGAAAACUUUGGGCCUGUAGGGAUGUUAUGUGAUGAGCCCAUGUUUGUGUGAUGAUGGUAGGUCAAUGAAUCAUGGACCAUCUAAAAGGUGACUGAGCCCAAGCCCACAUCAUCACAACUAAAUUGGGCUCCCAGAGAAUAAUUGUGGGCCUAUAAAACAAACCAGUCAAGUGGGGCGGUUUUCAUUGGAAUUUGGGCUAAUGGGAUUGAUUAACUUCUAUUUGUGAAUCUUGGCCUCCACCUCACUCUUUCCUAUUUUCAUCUGCAGACUGCAAACUGCUUGCCAAAGAUUUCCCUGAAUUGGUAAAACUUGGGAUUCAAAACUAUGACUUCACCAUCCAAGCAAAGAUGACAGCUCUUUGGAGGGGCUUUUGUAUUUUUGUUACAUGAUAUGGUAUUGCUUCAAAUACCACAUUACAAACCUACCAUACUAUGAUUGAAAUGCUUUACCUACAUGAUCAAAUAAUUCAGUUGAAAUUAUUAUGGAGAGGCAUGAACGAACAUAGGUGGACCAAGAAUCCAAGUGCUGUUUCUGAAUUAAAAGACAAGAAAGAAAGAAAGAAAGCAAAAGAAAGGGGGAAAGCAAAGAAAGGAGAGGGUAAUGAUAGGCACCAAUUAAUAAACCCAAUGGCAAUAAUUCAAAAUAACUCCCCUCAACCUCAAAUACAAAAGCUUCCCUAAAAAAUAUCCCAAAGAAUCCAACUCAAUGUAGUAAUAAAAUGUCCCAUCAACCCCGUAAUGACAUCCCCAGUCAUAAUAUUUAAAAUCAAGAAGUAAAUAACACGAAUUUCACAAGGAACGGAGAAGGAGAACAUCUCUCUAGAUCACCAGGCUCAGUGCCAGUCCAAAUGCCAAGCUCCCGGCCACCUUCUUCAUCGACCACAGCUUUUCCACUCCAUUCUGCAAUGUACAACACAGCUAUCAUUAAACGUCAAAUAAACUUUAUAUAAAGCAUAUCGGGUUUGGGCACGUCUGGACAAAUGUGCAGAGCCAAGGACUCGAAUCCUGAGCCUGAUGUUCCCCUGCUUCAAUGCUAGCUGUCAUAAGGAAUGCUUUACUGGCCUAGUCUACUCCUAACUAUGAUUUGUUUUGGCACUUUUCCCGAUGCGUUUGAUGGUCGUGAUCAGGUGUAAUUGCAGCGAUCUCACGCCUAUCAGACUCUGUCAAGCUUACACCAGCUCCACAACCAAUGCACGUGUCGAGGGGCUCGAGACGCCAUAGUUGUGAUCAGUGGAACCUUGCGGAUUUAUGUUAGAAAAACUAAGUGGAGUGUUGCUAAUGUGCGCACUAACUAGGUGGCAGUUUAAACCAGUUAAAUGUGAACUAGGCUAGCUUAGAUCUAAGGAUCGGAUUGUAACUAGGCGCGCGAUCGAGCCGCGAGGUGAAAAUGAAAUGACUUACCACAUCGUUCGCAGCUGGUGCUGGUGAGAUUCCGCCUGAGAUCGGUCCAGGCGCCUCCGCUGGUGGUGCCGGCGGGCUGUUCGUAAGUGGCGAUGGAGCCAAGGCCGGAGAUUUCACUUUUGUGCUUGGAGCUGGCGCUGGAACCGCUGCUGGUGGAGAGGCGAGAGGAGCCGGUGGAGGAGUUGCGGGAGGAGGAGUUGCAGGUGGAGGAGUGGCCGGUGGGGGAGUGGCCGGUGGUGGAGUAGCCGGUGGAGGAGUGGCGGGCGGAGGGGUGGCCGGUGGAGGUGUUGCUGGUGGAGGGGUUGCUGGUGGAGGAGUGGCUGGUGGAGGAGUGGCCGGUGGUGGAGUGGCUGGGGGUGGAGUGGCCGGUGGUGGAGUGGCAGGCGGAGGAGUAGCCGGUGGCGGGGCUGAUACCGGAGGAGGAGACGAGGCGGGAGGAGAUGUAACAGCAGUUGGUGGUGACGCGGCGGGAGUUGUGGGGGUAGGAGGAGCUGGAGUGGCGGUGGGCCCUCCAGCGGGAGCCUGACCUCCAACGCCGGCGAAGACAAUGCAGACCAAUCCAAGAACAAGCAAACUCUUGCAAUCCAUCGUGUUAAGCUGCGCACACUGACACCCAAUCCUAUGCACAAUGGGACUGCAAGCAGAGGGAGUGAGACAGAGAGAGAAGUGGAGAAUGGAGAUUAUAAAUAGGCAGUUUGUAUGAGGGUGUUGC
rnacentral:lncRNA from 1 species